AUGGAUGCCAUCUUUAGUAAAUGGGGAAAAUCAAGAAAAGGCGGGGCAAACAAUGCCACUAUUGAUCACUUUUUCCAUGUGGACACCUUCUAUGCUGUUAUGCACUCCAUCGCCACAAAGGUUUAUCAACAUUUUAAUGAGCAUAUCCACCUCAACAUGUAUGCCCUACACGUGCCAUCUUCUGCCACGUCAGCGACUCUUUACAUGGAGCAUUCAGUUAACAAUGUGCAGCACGUGGGAGCCGAUCUGUGCAUCAAGGGUCCUCCCAUGGCACGUCCGUUUGUGCUGCUCGCCUCCGCGGUUCUCUGA
rnacentral:rRNA from 1 species